rnacentral:rRNA from 1 species
GACGAACGCUGGCGGCGUGCUUAACACAUGCCAGUCGAACGGAAAGGCCCUGCUUGCAGGGUACUCGAGUGGCGAACGGGUGAGUAACACGUGGGUGAUCUGCCCUGCACUUCGGGAUAAGCCUGGGAAACUGGGUCUAAUACCGGAUAGGAGCCAUUUUUAGUGUGAUGGUUGGAAAGUUUUUUCGGUGUAGGAUGAGCUCGCGGCCUAUCAGCUUGUUGGUGGGGUAAUGGCCUACCAAGGCGGCGACGGGUAGCCGGCCUGAGAGGGUGGACGGCCACAUUGGGACUGAGAGACGGCCCAGACUCCGACGGGAGGCAGCAGUGGGGAAUAUUGCACAAUGGGCGCAAGCCUGAUGCAGCGACGCCGCGUGGGGGAUGACGGCCUUCGGGUUGUAAACUCCUUUCGCUAGGGACGAAGCUUUUUGUGACGGUACCUAGAUAAGAAGCACCGGCUAACUACGUG